GUCGAGCGGAUGAAGAGAGCUUGCUCUCUGAUUCAGCGGCGGACGGGUGAGUCAUUUCUAGGAAUCUGCCUGAUAGUGGGGGACAACGUUUCACGAAACGAACGCUAAUACCGCAUACGUCCUACGGGAGAAAGUGGGGGAUCUUCGGACCUCACGCUAUCAGAUGAGCCUAGGUCGGAUUAGCUAGUUGGUGAGGUAAUGGCUCACCAAGGCUACGAUCCGUAACUGGUCUGAGAGGAUGAUCAGUCACACUGGAACUGAGACACGGUCCAGACUCCUACGGGAGGCAGCAGUGGGGAAUAUUGGACAAUGGGCGAAAGCCUGAUCCAGCCAUGCCGCGUGUGUGAAGAAGGUCUUCGGAUUGUAAAGCACUUUAAGUUGGGAGGAAGGGCAGUAAAUUAAUACUUUGCUGUUUUGACGUUACCGACAGAAUAAGCACCGGCUAACUCUGUGCCAGCAGCCGCGGUAAUACAGAGGGUGCAAGCGUUAAUCGGAAUUACUGGGCGUAAAGCGCGCGUAGGUGGUUUGUUAAGUUGAAUGUGAAAUCCCCGGGCUCAACCUGGGGACUGCAUCCCAAACUGGCGAGCUAGAGUAUACGGGAGAAGGUGGUGGAAUUUCCUGUGUAGCGGUGAAAUGCGUAGAUAUAAGAAGGAACAACAAUGGGGGAAGGGGAACCCCCUGGACUGAUACUGACACUGAAGGGGGGAAAGCGGGGGGAGCAAACAAGAAUAAAUAACCUGGGAGUCCCCCCCGCAAACGAAGGUCAAUAAACCCCUGGGGGUCCUGGGAACUUUAUGGGGGGCGCUUAACCCAUUAAUUGGACCCCCCGGGGGGGGAGGGCCCCAGGGGUUAAAC
rnacentral:rRNA from 1 species